CCCUGAUCAGGAAACAAAUCUGCCUUCUGACUCAGAGGGCGAUAUUAUUUUUAUCACCAUGGACUAUCUCCAAGGAGGGAGGGAAACUAGCUUCAUUCUCCGGAGCAUGAGCAAAUCUGCUCCCUGCCUGGAUGUGCAAAUCUCCCUGAAGAAAGCUGUCAAUGCUCUUUGCUCGGAAGGCAUCCAGAUAUGCCAGGAUUAUCUUUCAACACUACCUCUUCAUAUGUUUUGCUUUGAUGACUCAAAAGUUAGCCUGGGUGUUAGGAGAACUCAAGCUUGUCUUCUUACAUUGACUCCAGAAGGUAUGAAAGUUUUCAAGCCAUCCCCCUGAACAUGGAGGCACUGUCUGCUCGAGAUGUCAUGUGGUGGCUACCCUGGCCUUGAGGAGCCCACUCCUCGGACUUGGCCUGCAGGGUGACAAGGGCCCCGAGCCAUCCCUUCUGCCCUCUGAUCAGGAGCUGCUGGCCUGACGUGUCUGAGCCGAGGAAGGCUAAUUCCUUCUGAUUCAGGUAUCAGUUCUUUGAUGAUUCAUUUUCAAGUGGCUCCUGGGAAUGAUUUCAGAAGUUCUAUAAACUUUGCUUUGUAAAACUAAAAUUGCUUUCUGAGGCCAAUUUCAUGUCCAACAAUGGAAAAGAUGAGUCAUCACAGCUCAGGCUCCCUUGGAGCAGGGAAAUAGAAGGAUCCUUGGAUCCUUCUAUUUACCCCAAAGCAACAGCCUAUAACAGUUUAUCAUUACAAGUCUUAUAUAUUCACUAAGUCUCAGUGUAAAAUAUGUACAGUUAGCAGAAUACAUAUGCAUAUAUGUGUACUCCAUAUGGAAGCAAUGGAAGAGUAAAAGAUUCAAAGAAAUGAAGAUAAAAAUAGUGGAAUAGUGGAACAUAUUUUCUUAUGGUUCAAAUUUCUUUUUCUCUUUUCUUUCCUUUUUUCUUUUUGGCUGCACCCCCAGCAUGCAGGAAGUUCCCAGGCCAGGGUUUGAACCUGUGCCACAGUAGCGACCCAAGCCACACCCGUGACAAUGCUGGAUCCUUAACCCAAUGAGCCAUAGCACUCCUCUACGGUUCAGAUUUCUGAUUUUAAUUAUAGAUUCACAUUUGAAGUUAUUUGAGAAUUGGCAUGCCACCAAUUAUUGAAAAGCCCACCACCCAAUUUUUUUUUUCUCCCACCAUCCAAUUUUCUAAAGAGAAAUAGCGUUUGAAAUAUUUUAAAUCAUUCUCUUUUAUUUCUUUGUUUUUGGGGGUUUUGUUUUAUUUUAUUUUCCUGGGUUUUUUUGUUCGCUUUCUUUUUGUUUUGUUGUUGUUGUUAUUUUUGACCCUGUCCAAAGCAUGUUGAAGUUACCGGCCCAGGGAUGGAAGCUAAGCCAUAGCAGCAACUCAAGCCACUGCGGUGACAACACCAGGCCCUUAACCUGCUGCACUACAAUGGGAACUCCACAUGCAAAUUUUUAAAGCAGUAAAAGAUUGCACAGAGGUUUGCUAAGUGGGAAACUCACAGUAAUACCUUAUGACUCCUCUUGUAUUAGUUUAUGUGGCUAUUCAAUCCAUCCUAUUUUUGAGCAUUUUACACAUAUAUAAAUCCUUUCCUCAAUCUUUACCAAUGGCAGGCUGUGUUUUCUAUUUUGGGACUCUGCCAUAGCAGCUAGUACAAUGACACAUUCAUAGUAAGUGAUUUAUAGAUAUUUGUAGAGUGAACGAAUGAGGGAAUUAUAGCCAAUUAAGACAGUUUUAUAUAUGGCUGUGUGGACUGGCCCUAUGCAAGGGAGUGGCAAUAGCUUAUGUGAGAUAGCAAAGGCCUAAAUAAGAUAGAUGAGAAGGAAUGGAGAGAGCCAGGAAAUGGGUUAUAAAAGUAGCAGCAUUUAUGGAGUACUUACUAUUUGAAGUACUUAGAAGGAGUAACCCCCGACUCUUCACAACAAUCCUAUGAGGUAGGUACUAUUAUUAUCUCCACUUCAGAGAUGAAACAUAGAGAUAAUUGAACAAGAGCCAGGCAGGAGGUCGUAUCAAGAACUCACACAGUUUGUUCUGUCCUUGCCUGCAUGGAGGAUCCAAGGGUAUUUUGAGUGUUCACGUGGAUGUUAAGAGCAAAGAACAAUGAUUCAAGGGUGACAACAAAAAUUCUUGAUUGGAAUGUUAGGAAAUUACAGCAUUGUCUAACACUGAGAGAAAACUGAAAUGGAAAAGUACAGAGGCAAAAGGAGCACUGGUGCUAUUUUUCUAUUAUUAUUAUUAUUAUUAUUAUUAUUCCCUCAGCAUGGGGAAGUUCCCGGGCCAGGGGCUGAACCUGCCCUACAGCAGUGACUCAAGAUGGCAGUGACAAUGCUGGAUCCUCAACCGGCUGCCCCACAAAAGAACUCUGCAGUGGUGCUGUUUUUGCCACAUUCAGCUUAAGUGGGGUUCAUAACAUUCCCAGGAAGUCAUCUUAGGAAAGGACUGGUACAGAAGACUGACCUGGGGACCACAGUGUUGAUGGGAAGGGAAUUUACCAAGAAAAACCAAUGACAGCAGCAGACUUUAUAUGGCCUUUUUUUCUAUUUUGUGUUUAGUGAGAUAAUUAAUGUACUUUCUAAAUCGGUGACUGAAUCUGAACAUUCUUUUCCCAUGGACAAAAUUAUUUGACAAAUUCUCUUAUUGUUCUUCACAGUUCUACAAAGUUAUGUUCCUAGGUUUGGAGAGAGAAAUGCUGAGACUCAGAUUUUAGGGACUCAGUGUUGGUCUCUCCUCUACUGAGAAGUACAAGCAGGUCUGACCUGGCUCCUUCUCAUCAGAUAGAGUUCAGCUCAAGGAAAUCCAGCUGGAGCAGACUUCCCAACCUGGCAGCAUGAGCUGAAGCUCCCCCGGCCCCUCCACCCCCAUCCGACCUCUUUAUCUCAUCCUAUAUUGGGUUUGGCAACAGAGCACCCACCCCUUGUGGCUUAUCUCUACUUCUGGUUUAUUUUCCAUUUGGUCUCACCGGAAUAAAAGCCCUAUGCAAGCCA
rnacentral:lncRNA from 1 species